AUACUUACCUGGCAGGGGAGAUACCAUGAUGAUGAAGGUGGCUUUCGCAAGAUGAGGCUUAUCCAUUGCACUACGGAUGUGCUAACCCCUGUGAUUUCCCCAAAUGUGGGAAACUUGACUGCAUAAUUUGUGGUGUGGGGGACUGUGUUCACACUCUCCCCUG